UUGAUUGUUUGGAAACUUCUCUCAAAAGUCAGAAUGUUAAAAUUUUAUUGUAGGUAGCAUUAUUUAUGUUUACUAUAUGACUGUGUGAUGUGUCUGUUGAGAGUUCUAAGGUUUACCAGAUUUUAUUGUUUGGGUCUCAGGUGAAAAAUUUCUUUCAUUUAUCCUAGCUAUAAUUUUGUAGAAUCCUAGAUUUCAACAGUAAAAGAAAACCCAAGGCAAUGUCUGGGCCACCCUUCUGACUUUGGUGAAAACUGGUUCUCAUUGUGGUUACUGCUCCCUUACAGCCAGCUAAAAGAAGCCUAUACAUUUACCUCAGGAACGCAUUGGAAAUCCAUCUUGCAUCUUCCUUUUUCCUAGUGCCAUUUGCUGAUCAUAGUACCUGCUGAUUAAAUCUUAUCUCUGCCCUUCUGAGGUUUAUCCUAUCAGCUAUCCCUCUCUCUGCCUCUCUGUGUUGCUUUUACCACCCUCCCAGUUACUUCCUCUCAUUCAAUGAAGACUAACCAACUAGCUAAUUCUCUUCCUCUCUACUUUAAGUCUUGCCAUUAUCCUGGGUGACUUCCAGGUCUACAGGAACAACUGAUAGCUUUUUCUAGAAGUUUCUUGACUUUUUCACCUCCAUUAACCCUCCUCUCCACUUCACUUUAGCCGGUCCUCUGUGGAUAGAUAUAUCUGGGACACCACCAAGAAUCGUUCUACCUCUGACUAGAAACAAACAUCCCAUUUUGGACCAACGCACCAGUCCUUCAAUAGAUACCUUAUUGACAUGGUCUUCAGUCUAUGCUCUUCAACCUUAUAGGAAAUUUGUGUCUGAGACAGCUAGCUAUGUACCAAAGAUUCAUGUUCUCUUUUCUUAACGUAGAGUUUUUGCUGGGAAGUGGCUGCCCAGCCAAGUAUUAUAUUUCUUAGCUCCUCUUGCAUUUAAGUGAAGCCCCUAAUUCUUGUCAAGGACCCUGAGGGUAAGUGAUGUGUAAUAAUUCCAAGUCCAGGUGGUUAAGAAGUAAAUUUACUUUCUCCAGUUUUCUGGCUGAAUGUCAUACCCACAAGUGACUUUGGAAAGCAUAUAUUGAAAAUAUCAGGUCAUCUGUUAACCUAUGUCUUUGAAUGACUGUUGGAGCAGAACCCCUCAUCUAUCCUAAUCAGGAACACUCAAGUGAGUGAGUUAUUGUAUUAAGCCAUUGGAAUAUUGGUCUUUGUUACAGCAGCCAGUAUUGCUCUGAUUAUUAUUAAUAACUAAAUAUUUAUUUCCUUAAUCUUCCCCUGUCCACCUUCUUCACUCUUUUCUGUACUCAGUUUAGCUUCCUUGCCUAACACUUUCUUGCUGAUCUUGAACCAUGUGAACCUUUGUCCUUAUCUCCCUCCUGCUAGGAAAAAACACAAACUUGGAUUAGUCUAACUAUGUACUAUUUUGCUUGUGUCUCUGCUAUUCUGGGCUGCUGGAGAAUAUUGCAUAACUAUGUAGAUUUGUAUCACCACAAAUUCAUGGUUUCCAUCCUCACAUGGAUACCUAAGACUACACAAUUUUUCUAUUUUCCCAAGUCAACUUGCUCUCAUAUUCUCCUUAGGGGCUAUUUCAAACAUCUAUCCUUGACCCAUUCUUCAGCCCACUGUGGUCUUUAUUCACCUCCAUGACCCCCUAAGCUUUUUGAGCAGUGUUGGCUGUGUUGAUCCCUCCAUCUCUCUUGGUGCACUCUUCCCUUGGCUACUGUGAUGACCCAUGCUCCUGGUCUCUUUUUGUUUUUUGGUUUCUCAUUCACAGUCGCUUUGAGAAGGUCUAUUCCUCCACCCAUUCCUUGAAGGUUGGUGUUCCAAAAGGUUCUAUACAAGCCUCUUCUCUAUGUAAUAUAAUCCUCAUCUCUUCCCACGGCUAAAAGCUUGUUCCAUAUGCAGAUGACUCCCAAAAUUUUAUCUUCAAUCCUACCUUCUUUUUAAGCUUCAGAGACUUAUUUCCAACAGCCAGCUACAUAUUUACAUGUGUAUGCCCACAGCACCUCGAAGUCAGCAUGUCCUGAAGAGAGAACAGCAUCUUCUGUGCCAGCCUGCCUCUUCUUCUGUAAAACAUUGGAAAUAGCACCAUGACCCGCCUUACUACCUAUGCUGGAAAUUCACACUUUAGAGAUGUUGACUCACUCAUUUCUGGUCUCCAUGAUUUCUGAUGAAAAAUCAGCAGUAAAUUAAAUCAUUGUUCAAAUGUA